ensembl:miRNA MIR3672 microRNA 3672
UCUUUGUGAUUACCAUGAGACUCAUGUAAAACAUCUUAGACUAUUACAAGAUGUUUUAUGAGUCUCAUGAUAAUCACAAAGA